rnacentral:misc_RNA from 1 species
GCGAGCAGCUGGGAAACGGGUGUCGAGCUUCUUCCUCAUGGCUGUCAGAUUUGGAGCAUUUAAAUUAAAAAAAAAAUCCCAAAUAAAUAGUUACAACAGCAGAAGCAGAAAGCUAAAACAACCAAAAACAGAAAUCAAAAUUAUAUUUUUCAAAUCAAAAUCAUUUCUUCAUAAUUGAAUUUUGGAUAUCGCACGAAAAAUCUAUAUGCUAUCCGUCUUCAGAUCCAAAAACAAGUUAAGUCUCGUUUCCAUCGAAUACCGUCCGUACAGUUUUGACAAAA